GGGUUGUGAGGUUAAGCGACUAAGCGUACACGGUGGAUGCCCUGGCAGUCAGAGGCGAUGAAGGACGUGCUAAUCUGCGAUAAGCGUCGGUGAGGUGAUAUGAACCGUUAUAACCGGCGAUUUCCGAAUGGGGAAACCCAGUGUGUUUCGACACACUAUCAUUAACUGAAUCCAUAGGUUAAUGAGGCGAACCGGGGGAACUGAAACAUCUAAGUACCCCGAGGAAAAGAAAUCAACCGAGAUUCCCCCAGUAGCGGCGAGCGAACGGGGAGGAGCCCAGAGCCUGAAUCAGUGUGUGUGUUAGUGGAAGCGUCUGGAAAGGCGCGCGAUACAGGGUGACAGCCCCGUACACAAAAAUGCACAUACUGUGAGCUCGAUGAGUAGGGCGGGACACGUGGUAUCCUGUCUGAAUAUGGGGGGACCAUCCUCCAAGGCUAAAUACUCCUGACUGACCGAUAGUGAACCAGUACCGUGAGGGAAAGGCGAAAAGAACCCCGGCGAGGGGAGUGAAAAAGAACCUGAAACCGUGUACGUACAAGCAGUGGGAGCCUCUUAAUGGGGUGACUGCGUACCUUUUGUAUAAUGGGUCAGCGACUUAUAUUCUGUAGCAAGGUUAACCGAAUAGGGGAGCCGAAGGGAAACCGAGUCUUAACUGGGCGUUAAGUUGCAGGGUAUAGACCCGAAACCCGGUGAUCUAGCCAUGGGCAGGUUGAAGGUUGGGUAACACUAACUGGAGGACCGAACCGACUAAUGUUGAAAAAUUAGCGGAUGACUUGUGGCUGGGGGUGAAAGGCCAAUCAAACCGGGAGAUAGCUGGUUCUCCCCGAAAGCUAUUUAGGUAGCGCCUCGUGAAUUCAUCUCCGGGGGUAGAGCACUGUUUCGGCAAGGGGGUCAUCCCGACUUACCAACCCGAUGCAAACUGCGAAUACCGGAGAAUGUUAUCACGGGAGACACACGGCGGGUGCUAACGUCCGUCGUGAAGAGGGAAACAACCCAGACCGCCAGCUAAGGUCCCAAAGUCAUGGUUAAGUGGGAAACGAUGUGGGAAGGCCCAGACAGCCAGGAUGUUGGCUUAGAAGCAGCCAUCAUUUAAAGAAAGCGUAAUAGCUCACUGGUCGAGUCGGCCUGCGCGGAAGAUGUAACGGGGCUAAACCAUGCACCGAAGCUGCGGCAGCGACACUAUGUGUUGUUGGGUAGGGGAGCGUUCUGUAAGCCUGUGAAGGUGUACUGUGAGGUAUGCUGGAGGUAUCAGAAGUGCGAAUGCUGACAUAAGUAACGAUAAAGCGGGUGAAAAGCCCGCUCGCCGGAAGACCAAGGGUUCCUGUCCAACGUUAAUCGGGGCAGGGUGAGUCGACCCCUAAGGCGAGGCCGAAAGGCGUAGUCGAUGGGAAACAGGUUAAUAUUCCUGUACUUGGUGUUACUGCGAAGGGGGGACGGAGAAGGCUAUGUUGGCCGGGCGACGGUUGUCCCGGUUUAAGCGUGUAGGCUGGUUUUCCAGGCAAAUCCGGAAAAUCAAGGCUGAGGCGUGAUGACGAGGCACUACGGUGCUGAAGCGACAAAUGCCCUGCUUCCAGGAAAAGCCUCUAAGCAUCAGGUAACAUCAAAUCGUACCCCAAACCGACACAGGUGGUCAGGUAGAGAAUACCAAGGCGCUUGAGAGAACUCGGGUGAAGGAACUAGGCAAAAUGGUGCCGUAACUUCGGGAGAAGGCACGCUGAUAUGUAGGUGAAGCGACUUGCUCGUGGAGCUGAAAUCAGUCGAAGAUACCAGCUGGCUGCAACUGUUUAUUAAAAACACAGCACUGUGCAAACACGAAAGUGGACGUAUACGGUGUGACGCCUGCCCGGUGCCGGAAGGUUAAUUGAUGGGGUUAGCGGUAACGCGAAGCUCUUGAUCGAAGCCCCGGUAAACGGCGGCCGUAACUAUAACGGUCCUAAGGUAGCGAAAUUCCUUGUCGGGUAAGUUCCGACCUGCACGAAUGGCGUAAUGAUGGCCAGGCUGUCUCCACCCGAGACUCAGUGAAAUUGAACUCGCUGUGAAGAUGCAGUGUACCCGCGGCAAGACGGAAAGACCCCGUGAACCUUUACUAUAGCUUGACACUGAACAUUGAGCCUUGAUGUGUAGGAUAGGUGGGAGGCUUUGAAGUGUGGACGCCAGUCUGCAUGGAGCCGACCUUGAAAUACCACCCUUUAAUGUUUGAUGUUCUAACGUGGGCCCCUUACCGGGGUUGCGGACAGUGUCUGGUGGGUAGUUUGACUGGGGCGGUCUCCUCCUAAAGAGUAACGGAGGAGCACGAAGGUUGGCUAAUCCUGGUCGGACAUCAGGAGGUUAGUGCAAUGGCAUAAGCCAGCUUGACUGCGAGCGUGACGGCGCGAGCAGGUGCGAAAGCAGGUCAUAGUGAUCCGGUGGUUCUGAAUGGAAGGGCCAUCGCUCAACGGAUAAAAGGUACUCCGGGGAUAACAGGCUGAUACCGCCCAAGAGUUCAUAUCGACGGCGGUGUUUGGCACCUCGAUGUCGGCUCAUCACAUCCUGGGGCUGAAGUAGGUCCCAAGGGUAUGGCUGUUCGCCAUUUAAAGUGGUACGCGAGCUGGGUUUAGAACGUCGUGAGACAGUUCGGUCCCUAUCUGCCGUGGGCGCUGGAGAACUGAGGGGGGCUGCUCCUAGUACGAGAGGACCGGAGUGGACGCAUCACUGGUGUUCGGGUUGUCAUGCCAAUGGCACUGCCCGGUAGCUAAAUGCGGAAGAGAUAAGUGCUGAAAGCAUCUAAGCACGAAACUUGCCCCGAGAUGAGUUCUCCCUGAGACUUAGAGUCUCCUGAAGGAACGUUGAAGACGACGACGUUGAUAGGCCGGGUGUGUAAGCGCAGCGAUGCGUUGAGCUAACCGGUACUAAUGAACCGUGAGGCUUAACCUUACAACGCCGAAG
rnacentral:rRNA from 1 species